UGCUAACUGAUGUGUCCGCUCUCUUCUGACACAGCUCUGUGACAUUCCAGCGCAGGACUCCUUCAUGUCCGGAGAGGAAAAAAAGAGAGGGAACGAGGAAGAUCCACAAACAAUGCCCAUUGAGUACUGUGAGGCAACAGCUGGUGGGAUAUGCACUGACCUUAAGGAGGUCUAUUCAGGCCUGGACUGGCGCCUCUCAUGGCCCCGCUGCCUUUAUAUGGCUGGAAGUGGAUGGAUGGUCAAUGUUUAUUCUCAUCAUGCAAACAGAAGAGCAACAGUGCCCGGCGGCUUCGGCCCAAUCGGAAAUAUUGAGGGUAGUCAAAUUAAAGUUUCGAAGGGGAGCGUUUCAUCUCAUGACAGCRGGAUGGAGAUAAAACUGAACGCCUGUCAAAGCCUUUGUUUCACAGGAGCACUGAGGCAUUUCCCAGCGGGCCUCAUGCCUGUCUUUGAGAUCAAACCUUGCUGGCAAAGCCACCAUAAAGCGAUAUGUCAGUCGGGAGUGGGAAAGAGAUGCCUGCUUGACUGUGAUUGAUCUGCCACGGUUUCUUUAUUCCCCUUGAGGCUGGAUACAUCCAGGCUGCGGAUCCAGCCUGAUGAAUAGCACCACGCACCCUGCCCGCCUCACGUCCCCUCUUCUCCACCCGGCGUGGCCCAUCCCGCAGCCCAUCACGGAAGGCCACAYGCUGCAAUAUAAAAUUAAAAACACCAGAUUCCAGUUCCAGGAAGCGCAGGCAGAGCCUUGCCAACCAAUCACAUCGAAGGACAUCCAACUCAUUAAAAGUUAAUGAAACCUAUAAACGUGGUGCGCCAGCGAUUCAUUUAAACCCCCAAUCCAAUCUCCUCUCUCUGCAAAGGCAAACAAGCCUGUGUGCCCCCAGUGCUGUCCUCGGAAUAACAAACUACGGAAUAUUUUGUCCUGCAUAUGUUCUCCCCUAUGCAGACAUGUGCUGCRGUGAUAGGGUAUCUUACAAUGGGACUUGUCCAAUUUAGAAAAAAAUAAAGCAAGGGUGGUGUACUGCAGGGGUAAAAUCUGUAAUYUGCUCUUCAGUUGAAUUUAAUGCAUUUGCCUUACACUGCACUGCUUGUCAGGAAUGGCUGCAAUAGAUAUGCCAUUUCAACAUUCAUGAGAAUCACUGACAUUCAAAUAAUGUGCUCRUUUUAAUACCGUACAUGAGUGAAAGGCAAAAGCUGCUUAUGCAACCUCCAGUUCGAAGCAAGUGCAGGCAGACGAGGCCGAGUGCGAGCAAAAACCCGUUCUUCCCGCAGCCUCACCUUACGUGUCAAACAUAUUCAUUUAAYUCUGCUCCUAAUUUCAUAACAUGUCAUAAGCAGCAAUAAAACCCCACUUUACUGCCGUUAAAAAUCAAACAAGUUCAACAACAACCUCUUUUGUGUGUUGCACUCAGCUCCGGUGUCUCAUAGAGCUUCCCUUGAGGGAUUCAAAUUAAAUUCUCUCCUUGUAAAGAGCCACAGUCAGCUYGCUAAUGAAUUCCCAUACCCUGACUCAAAUCAAAUUAAUCCCCAGUUUAAUUCCAUAUAAACGGCGGUGUUAUUUAUAGUGGGAAGACGGAUGCUCGGUUGAAGGAUUGAGGAAAGCUGGGAGGUGUCUAUAGGGCCGCUGAGCAGAUUAUGGUGAAGGAUGAAUCCUGUAUGUUUUCCCCGACAGCAGAGUGGUCCCCUGGUACACACUAUUUAACCCUCGCCUGCUUGACGCUGACAGAAACAUCACAGUGUUUGUCACCUAAUAUCCUUUCAGAUUAAGGAGUCAACUGGCAGAUUUAUUGGUCGGAGCUGAGACGCUCUUAUCUUGAAGGGCCCAAUAGAAAGAUAAUGCGUGAAGGCGCGACGUCAUAACGCACGGCUACAGUUAGGUCAUGGGUUUUUGUAGAGAGACAAAAUUUGCAUGAACCCCUUAGGCAAAUCUCUUUCGUGGAGAGAAACAGCUCGAUGUGACUAUUUUGAUCACAGUAAUUUGAUUUUCUGAAGUCAGCAGUGACAGGUAGUUUGUUGAAUGGCUUUUUCAUACAAAUGRCACAACAAACUGACAAAUUGUGGUAUCAUGACAAACUGCUAAUGCUUUGUGGCUGCAAAUGUAACAGCCUACAUAACACUACUCUUCUGAGGAAAAAGUGGUGAUGUUAAGUUCAUCCACCCCCCAUGAAUAUGCCAAGUGAUAAAACAGGCUUCUUUAUAAAAAGUAAAAAAAAAGUUUUGAACAGUGUGUUUACUAAGAAAUUAUCAAACAGACUUAAAAGUGUGCAAAAAGCCAGAAAAUGUUAAAUGAAUUUUUUUGUAUAAUGAACAAUUAACAUAUUGGGUUUUUCACUAAAGAGAAAUUAAGACCCAUAUUUGUAUUUAAGCACUUMGUCCCCUGUGCCCCUUUCUUCAGAAUCUGUCUGUAUUUGUUGUUUAGCAAAGACGGCAAAAAACAGCAUUUGUUGUUCUUAAGCUAAAAUGUGAAUAACAGGGCAUCAACCUGUUGCUGAAGCUUCUGCUUUAUUUUUAUCAAACAGUUACAUUUUACUCUUAAAACAUCGUUGCAGUGUUGUGAUCAGAUUCUUUUUUUUUAUUUCAAAAUAAUCUUUGUUAAAUGAAUUAAAGAGUUCAAUUAAUACUGACUGAUUCGGAAGACUUUUUAUAGGUAAAAUUUAAGUAAAAAUAACAUUUUUCUAGGUUAAAUUUCUCAUUUAAAACCAUGACGUGGUCGCCACAUGUAGCUGAAUGUUUUAGGAGUUUUUUUCCGAUCCAAGUUUAUGAUGUGUACAGUUGACAAAGAAUCAUUAGCAUGGGAUGCGUUUAAGGAUGACAGACGGUUGUGAAAGUCGGUUUGGCAGUUUCGGGGACAGUUUGGAGCCUUUAAAGCUCGGUCCACCAAAUGUCUGAACAUCUAUGGUUUAUUGAGGCAUCUGUAAGCUUACGCACUUUACUGCCAAGCUUGGCCCGUGCACCUAUAUGGUCCUGAAAUGGAUGGAAGCACACCCACGCAAAAGUUUACUCUUUGCCUUCAUACCAAAUCCUUGACAGCCAURCAUCCCCACCCAAUCACCAUUCUAACACAUGUGCUGUCACAAAUAAACACAUUUAGUUUUUCUGGAAUAUACACUACCAAAUGUUUGGCAACUU